rnacentral:rRNA from 1 species
GACGUAGGGCGCGAGCGUUGUCCGGAAUUAUUGGGCGUAAAGGGCGCGUAGGCGGCCUUUCAAGUGACGGGUGAAAUCCCCCGGCUUAACCGGGGAACUGCCUGUCAGACUGGGAGGCUUGAGACCGGGAGAGGUGAGUGGAAUUCCCAGUGUAGCGGUGAAAUGCGUAGAUAUUGGGAGGAACACCAGUGGCGAAGGCGGCUCACUGGACCGGUACUGACGCUGAUGCGCGAAAGCGUGGGGAGCAAACAGG